CCUACGGGAGGCAGCAGUGAGGAAUAUUGGUCAAUGGCCGGAAGUCUGAACCAGCCAUGCCGCGUGAAGGUCAGUGCCCUAUGGGCGUUAAACUUCUUUUGUUCGGGAGCAAUAAUGGUCACGUGUGGCCAGCCGAGAGUACCGUACGAAUCAGCAUCGGCUAACUCCGUUCCAGCAGCCGCGGUAAUACGGGGGAUCCGAGCGUUAUCCGGAUUUAUUGGGUUUAAAGGGAGCGUAGAUGGGUUGUUAAGUCAGUUGUGAAAGUUUGCGGCUCAACCGUAAAAUUGCAAUUGAUACUGGCAGUCUUGAGUACAGUUGAGGUAGGCGGAAUUCGUGGUGUAGCGGUGAAAUGCUUAGAUAUCACGAAGAACUCCGAUUGCGAAGGCAGCUUACUAAACUGCAACUGACAUUGAUGCUCGAAAGUGUGGGUAUCAAACAGGAUUAGAUACCCCAGUAGUC
rnacentral:rRNA from 1 species